AAAUCAGGUAGGAGUACCCGCUGAACUUAAGCAUAUCAAUAAGCGGAGGAAAAGAAACCAACCGGAUUGCCUUAGUAACGGCGAGUGAAGCGGCAAAAGCUCAAAUUUGAAAUCUGGUACCUUUGGUGCCCGAGUUGUAAUUUGGAGAGGGCAACUUUGGGACCUUUCCUUGUCUAUGUUCCUUGGAACAGGACGUCAUAGAGGGUGAGAAUCCCGUGUGGCGAGGAGUGCGGUUCUAUGUAAAGUGCCUUCGAAGAGUCGAGUUGUUUGGGAAUGCAGCUCUAAGUGGGUGGUAAAUUCCAUCUAAAGCUAAAUAUUGGCGAGAGACCGAUAGCGAACAAGUACAGUGAUGGAAAGAUGAAAAGAACUUUGAAAAGAGAGUGAAAAAGUACGUGAAAUUGUUGAAAGGGAAGGGCAUUUGAUCAGACAUGGUGUUUUGCGCCCUCUGCUCCUUGUGGGUGGGGGAAUCUCGCAGUUCACUGGGCCAGCAUCAGUUUUGGUGGCAGGAUAAAUCCGUAGGAAUGUAACUUGCUUCGGGAAGUAUUAUAGCCUAUGGGAAUACUGCCAG
rnacentral:rRNA from 1 species